ACAACGUGCCGUUUUUUACAUCCCGAAAAAAAGUCCCCAACGGAGCAGAGAGCAGCAAAUAAGAUUUUCGCCAAAAACACUCAUUACCGUUACCAACUUUUCAGGACCAAAGAAAUUUGAUGUUUUAACGAAAUUGCCGAGCCGUAAUCAAAGUGAAUCAAAAGUGGUUCAUAUUUCGCCAACAAAAAUUAAGCAACUCUCUCAUUGGGGAUGAAAGUUCCCAUUUCGAAAAUAGAUAAUGAAACAUAGCGCAAAAUGUACAAUGUUUUAAGGCAUUUCUGGCAAAUUUCAUUCACUAAAACAUAGAAUAACUACAACGAUUGAAAAGAAGCUCAUGAAUGUCUGUACAAAGAUGCAGCAUUAAGUUCACAAACUAAGUAAGUGAGAAGUAUGACAGAAAAGUAAUUAUUGAAUGGGUUAAAAAUAGAUAAAUUCAGCUUAACUUUUCCCUUAAACAGCUGUAGUAGUACUGGUAAUUUCCUGAUAGUUCAUUUUGCUUGUCUCGGUGGUAAUGGGGGUUUCAUGAAUCAGUGUGGUACCCAAUCUUUUGGGGGUUUGCUUGACGAUAAUCUCAUACUUGCCUGGAAGGUGAAAAGCGGCUUGCUUCAAUGCAUGCUCAGCUAACUCUUUACGCAUUCCAUCACCACCAAUUUCAAAAAGUACACGACCGAUUGGUAUCCGUGCAGCCCAGUAUUCAAAAGCUCCUUUGCCUUUGCCCAUACGAGUUUCAUUUCCUUUUACGCAUACUGGCACAUUGCAACAAAAACGUGUGUAUACCCGAGCAGCCUUGAUAGGUUUUAAUAUACGCUUGAGAAUCUGUUCGGCAGUUUCGAGUUGCUUGGCAUGAAAUCUUAUACUUCGAUCUUUUAAUCGCAUACCAUAUUCUCCCCAUUCAAGUUGAGUACCACGUAGUGAACCUCCUAUGGGUAUAGGGACUCUUCCUUUCUGAGCUUUUUGGUUUCUGAUGCUUCUGGGUGCAUACUGGUGUCCCCAACGAACCAUCGUUUGGAUAGGCGGCAUUUGUAAACCAUUCAACCUCGUAGGUCCUAAAAUACCAGAAAAAAAGAAAGGAAAUUUAUUGUAUUGUUGUAAAGCCAUAUUAUAUAAGUUUUUAUGUUGUGAGGGUUUCAAAAAGUCAUAAAACAACGUGUUUUUAUUAUCAUGCAAAAGUCGUUCUUUAAAGUUACUCAGAAAUAUUCAAAAUAAUCAAAUUU